UUGAGUUUUUGGUUUGUUAGUGUUACUAGCGUAACCAUAAAAACUUCAUCCUAUGUUUACAUACUUUGUAUACUUUGGCAAGACGCUUUGACUUGAAGUUGGAGAAUAUUCAGCCACAAGAAAAAGCCACUGACGUCAUUUACUUGACAGUGAGUGUGUUUGCUUGCCAAAGGUUUAACUCUUUUAUACUGUUGUCUGAGUACUACAAAAAUAAAUUA
rnacentral:misc_RNA from 1 species